AUCAACUUUCGAUGGUAGGAUAGAGGCCUACCAUGGUGGUAACGGGUAACGGGGUGUUAGGGCACGACACCGGAGAGGGAGCCUGAGAAACGGCUACCACAUCCAAGGAUGGCAGCAGGCGCGCAAAUUACCCAAUCCCGACACGGGGAGGUAGUGACAAUAAAUAACAAUACGGGGUUCUUUCGGAUUUCGUAAUUGGAAUGAGUACAAUUUAAAUCUCUUAACGAGGAACAAUUGGAGGGCAAGUCUGGUGCCAGCAGCCGCGGUAAUUCCAGCUCCAAUAGCGUAUAUUAAAGUUGCUGCAGUUAAAAAGCUCGUAGUUGAAUUUCGGGACUAAUAUGUCGGUCGUGCCUCGGUACGUACUGGUAUUUUUGGUUUCUCCCUUCUGAUGAACCUUGAUGUCAUUAAUUUGGUGUCUUGGGAAAUCAGGACUGUUACUUUGAAAAAAUUAGAGUGUUUAAAGCAGGCUCACGCUUGAAUACAUUAGCAUGGGAUAAUGAAAUAGGACGUUUGAUUCUAUUUUGUUGGUUUCUAGGAUCGACGUAAUGAUUAAUAGGGAUAGUUGGGGGCAUUAGUAUUCAAUUGUCAGAGGUGAAAUUCUUGGAUUUAUUGAAGACUAACUACUGCGAAAGCAUUUGCCAAGGAUGUUUUCAUUAAUCAAGAACGAAAGUUAGGGGAUCGAAGACGAUCAGAUACCGUCGUAGUCUUAACCAUAAACUAUGCCGACUAGGGAUCGGAUGAUGUUGAUUUUUUAAUGACUCAUUCGGCGCCUUACGGGAAACCAAAGUGUUUGGGUUC
rnacentral:rRNA from 1 species